rnacentral:rRNA from 1 species
ACGCUCGACACCUACUGGAGGCAGCAGUAGGGAAUCUUCCACAAUGGGCGCAAGCCUGAUGGAGCAACACCGCGUGAGUGAAGAAGGGUUUCGGCUCGUAAAGCUCUGUUGUUGGAGAAGAACGUGCGUGAGAGUAACUGUUCACGCAGUGACGGUAUCCAACCUGAAAGUCACGGCUAACUACGUGACAGCAGCCGCGGUAAUCUGAGGCGGGCUGGCAAGGC